rnacentral:rRNA from 1 species
UACGGAGGGUGCGAGCGUUGUUCGGAAUCACUGGGCGUAAAGCGUGUGUAGGCGGUUUCGAAAGUCCGAUGUGAAAUCCCCGAGCUUAGCUUGGGAACUGCGUUGGAAACUACGAGGCUAGAGUGCGGCAGAGGGGGGUGGAAUUCCAGGUGUAGCAGUGAAAUGCGUAGAUAUCGAGAGGAACACCAGUGGCGAAGGCGAGUCCCUGGACGACUCCUGACACUGAGGCACGAAAGCUAGGGGAGCAAACAGG